CCUACGGGUGGCAGCAGUGAGGAAUAUUGGUCAAUGGACGAGAGUCUGAACCAGCCAAGUAGCGUGAAGGAUGACUGCCCUAUGGGUUGUAAACUUCUUUUGUCAGGGACGAAGAAAGUGACGGUACCUGACGAAUAAGCCACGGCUAACUACGUGCCAGCCGCCGCGGUAAUACGUAGGUGGCAAGCGUUAGCCGGAUUUACUGGGUGUAAGGGGCGUGUAGGCGGGACUGCAAGUCAGAUGUGAAAUUCCAGGGCUCAACCCUGGAACUGCAUUUGAUACUGUAGGUCUUGAGUGAUGGAGAGGCAGGCGGAAUGCCGUGUGUAGCGGUGAAAUGCGUAGAGAUACGGAGGAACACCAGUGGCGAAGGCGGCCUGCUGGACAUUAACUGACGCUGAGGCGCGAAAGCGUGGGGAGCAAACAGGAUUAGAUACCCCAGUAGUC
rnacentral:rRNA from 1 species